GGGGACGGGGGGACGGACGGAUGGAUGGAUGGAUCCUUGGAGUGCGGCCGGUGGGCAGGCUGUCCGCUCGGAGGCAGGCAGCCCGCUUCCCAUCGGGGUUUCUCGCCCACAGCCAGAGUCUGGUUCUGCUAAGGAAGCCUGUAGCUUAUCUUCUGGAGAGUGUUCAGGAACCAUUUUGACGAAUUCCAAUUAAGAGUCUUUCUGACGCCAGGGGAUGCAGAGGUCAAAGGAUGCCCUGAGCAGCACAGCAACAGACCAUGAGGAGCACAGAUAAAGAUGGCGAAACAGCCUCCUAAGGAGUCCGUGUGACCUGCCUAAGAUCAAUCAGAAAAUUAAUGUCAGAACUAGUAAGAGAAGUCUGAUCUUCGAAUACGCCAUUCUUUGCUCUAAACUACAGGCCAGCCUGAAGCCACUGAAAUUGGCCAUAUGCUCAAUAAUAUUUCAGUGUACAAGUAUAUUUCACUGGUCUUUAUAACCCAAGUCAAUGUAUGCGUCUUUCCAUAUGUAUUUUUAAAAGCACAUCAUUGUUGGAGACUUCAACUAGGCAUCAUUAGCGAAUUGCUAUAUCGUGAAAAUGGAAACACCUCCCUAAACCAUGUGCUUAACACUAGAAAUUAAUGAGAAGAUUGAAAAAGCAUCCAGUAGUUUGACUGAGAUAAUAUAUCCACUAAAUUCUAUUUUCUGCCAUGGGGCAUUAGUUAGGUCUGCUCUCAGGAACUCAGGGUCCAAAGUGUAUUCAGAAAGCUGACUGAACUCUGAAAUGCUUUACCUUUGGCACGCCUUGGGUAAGGACUAACUGGAGUCCCUAGUACUGAACCUGGCCAUCCAAGAACUGGGAUAGAGGGACAAAUCAAGGAGGAGGUUGUUUUGCUUUGCCUUUCUGGACCUCAUUCAUUAAUCUAAGAUAAUUCAUUAAUUUAAGAGAAGCAGGAAAUAGUGCUUAAAUUACAAUGUCCAUUGCAUAACUUGCAUUACCGUGAAUGUAUGUCCAUGAUGUGCUCCAUCCUGUUCCUACUAAAGUACACUGUCAAAUUCAAAAGAUUUUUCUGGGAUGAUUAUCAUCUCAUGAAACCUAUGUUCUUAGGCAAACUAUAUGUUCUGCUAAACAAAGGAAAAGUUCUCACUAAUACCUGCCUCCAAGUUCAUUUUUAGGAGACUGCCACAAGGAGCAUCUAAAUUUAGCAGUGUCUAAAUUCAGUUGAAAUACUCUAACCUGAAGUGACCAAAGAUAACUGGUUUAUAGAUAGAUGGAAAAGUUUGGGCUGGCAGAGUGCUCAAGAAGCAAGGUGCUCAAGCGAUUUAAAGCAUUAAUUGCUUACCGAAGAAUUAAGAUCUUCUGUCAUUUGCCUGCUCCUCAAUUACGUGCACUGUGUAUAUGUGUGUGAGUUUACACAUAUGCAUGUAUAUGUACACGAUUGUAUAUAUGUACGUGUGUAUACCUACACAUACACCAUUGGUUUAUGCUGCAGAAUACUUAAUGUAUGAAGUGGGAACAGGAAAGCUCUUGGUGUAGAGAUAACUGAUCUCCAUCCUGUCAUUUCUGGUGCACUUUGCUUAUUAACUCGUAUACUCUCUAGACUUUUUCCCGUAAUUAAAAGAAAUCUACUGCAUAGCAGAAGACUUUAGUACUUUCUUCUGAAUCUUGACAGGGUAGUUAAGUCAUGUUUUUCACUAGAGCUUUUAUCUACUCUUUAUCUGCAUGAGUUUGGUAUGAACAAGUUUCUGAUAAAACUCAGAACUGAAUAACAUGUCGUCCCAAAUGCGUCCUGCUAUUCUCAGUGCAACAGUGACAGAUCAGUGCAAUGUAGGCACACAGAAUUAAUGUAUUAAAAAAAAAAAUUAAAUUGUUUAAGGGAGACUUUUAAAAUUGAAUUGAAACUGUGUUGUUUUGUAGUCUCUCACCCAAAAGUCUUUACUAAUGUUAAACUAAUUCUCAGAAAGAAAAUAAAAUGUAAUUAAUACUUUGUCAGAAAAUCUUAUAAUAACCAAAAGUAAUUUUUUUCUAUGUACAAGGACAUGACCAUUUUGAAGCACAGUAUUCAUAGUCUAUCUAGGGAUAUAGUUAACUUAUAUUUCUGUAAAUGCCUUGCUAAUUGCCUUAAUAUGUUAAAAUACUCCUGGAUGUAACUCUAACUGUUCUAGACAGUUAGACAGACUGGGCCAAACCAGAUUUUGCUUUGAAAACUCCACAUUUUGCAGAAGUAAGAAGAGAGAUAUUUAUUGAUGGCUAGGUUUUAAAACUGUCAUCUCUCUGAAGCUGCUCAGAGACUGCGUAUUAGAUUAACUCCAAUUUGUGAUUGGUGAUCAGAGACAUGACAAUGUACUCCAGGUAAGGAAUUUGCUGUUACAAAGAACUGAUCCAAUUCUGUAUGUGAAUUUUUACAAUGAGGGAGAGGAAAAUAUAUAUUUAAACUGUGAA